GGGGGUAUACUCAGGGCUAGAGUACUUGCUUAGUAUGGAAGAGGCCCUGGGUUUGAGCCCCAGCACCACCA
rnacentral:tRNA from 1 species